AGCAAGUACAAAGUGAAACUGCGAAUGGCUCAUUAUAUAAGUUAUCGUUUAUUUGAUAUUGCCUAUCCUACAUGGAUAACAGUGGUAAUUCUAGAGCUAAUACAUGCUGAAAAUCCCGACUUCGGAAGGGACGUAUUUAUUAGAAUCAGAACCAAUGCCCUUCGGGGUUCCUUGGUGAAUCAUGAUAACUCCACAGAUCGCAUGGCCUUGCGCCGGCGAUGGCUCAUUCAAAUUUCUUCCCUAUCAACUUUCGACGGUACGGUCUUGGCCUACCGUGGUUGUAACGGGUGACGGAGGGUUAGGGCUCGACCCCGGAGAAGGAGCCGGAGGAACGGCUACUACAUCCAAGGAAGGCAGCAGGCGCGCAAAUUAUCCAAUCCCGACACGGGGAGAUAGUGACAAUAAAUACCGAUACAGGGCUCUUUUGGGCCCUGUAAUUGGAAUGAGUACAAUUUAAACCUCUUAACGAGGAACAAUUGGAGGGCAAGUCUGGUGCCAGCAGCCGCGGUAAUUCCAGCUCCAAUAGCGUAUAUUAAAGUUGUUGUGGUUAAAAAGCUCGUAGUCGAACCUCGAGCCUGGCCGGCCGGUCCGCCUCACCGCGUGCACUGGUCUGGCCGGGCUCUUCCCUCUGCGGAACCGCAUGUCCUUCACUGGGCGUGUCGGGGAGGCAGGACUUUUACUUUGAAAAAAUUAGAGUGCUCAAGGCAGGCCAAUGCUCGAAUACAUUAGCAUGGAAUAAUAGAAUAGGACGUUGGUUCUAUUUUGUUGGUUUCUAGGACCGCCGUAAUGAUCAAUAGGGACGGUCGGGGGCAUCAGUAUUCAGCCGUCAGAGGUGAAAUUCUUGGACCGGCUGAAGACUAACUACUGCGAAAGCAUUUGCCAAGGACGUUUUCGCUGAUCAGGAACGAAAGUUAGGGGAUCGAAGACGAUCAGAUACCGUCGUAGUCUUAACCAUAAACUAUGCCGACUAGGGAUCGGGCGGCGUUCUUUCUAGACCCGCUCGGCACCUUUCGAGAAAUCAAAGUGCUUGGGCUC
rnacentral:rRNA from 1 species